UACAGAGGUCUCAAGCGUUGUUCGGAUUCAUUGGGCGUAAAGGGUGCGUAGGCGGCGCGGUAAGUCGGGUGUGAAAUCUUGGAGCUUAACUCCGAAACUGCAUUCGAUACUGCCGUGCUUGAGGACUGGAGAGGAGACUGGAAUUUACGGUGUAGCGGUGAAAUGCGUAGAUAUCGUAAGGAAGACCAGUGGCGAAGGCGGGUCUCGUGGACAGUUCCUGACGCUGAGGCACGAAGGCCCAGGGGGAGCAAAACGGGGAUUUAGAAAACCCC
rnacentral:rRNA from 1 species